rnacentral:rRNA from 1 species
UACGUAGGCAGCAAGCGUUGUUCGGAAUUACUGGGCGUAAAGAGUGUGUAGGCGGUGCUCUAAGUCUGUUGUGAAAUCUCCCGGCUUAACCGGGAGGGUGCGGCGGAAACUGGAGUGCUUGAGGGUGGGAGAGGUAAGCGAAAUUCCUGGUGUAGCGGUGAAAUGCGUAGAUAUCAGGAGGAACACCUGUGGUGUAGACAGCUUACUGGACCACUUCUGACGCUGAGACACGAAAGCGUGGGUAGCAAACAGG